CCCUAAAAAACAUGAAACAACCAAAUGCAACUCAUGAGCCUUCUUGGAUCAGGAAAGAACCGAAAAAGACAUUUUUGGAGGACACCUGGGAAAAUCUGAAUAGAACUGUAUAUUAGAUGAUGUUAUUGACUAGUGGUAAUUUUUAAGGUAUGAUGAUGGUAUUACAGGGGAAAGUCCUUGCUCCUAAAAGAUGCUUGCUGAAGUAUUCAGGGUGAACCAUCAUGCUGCCUAUAACUCACUUUCAAAUGGUUCAGCAAAACUACUUGAAAGAAAAUGAGAGAAACAUGGCAAAAUAAUAAUAAUCAUGACUCUAGCUUUUCUCUUAGGCUUGACAGUUUCAAAAUAAAAAGUGAUAAGGAAACAGACCAUGCGGCGAGUUGUGACUCUUCUCUGCAUUUGUGGGGCCAGUCUUGGGUUUGUCACCCAACUGCCCGAUGCAGAAAGCGAUGUGCCUGUGAUGGAGGGAUGGGGCCACUUCGGUGCCUCCCAGUCUGCACGGUUCACGCAGGGAAUGUACUGGCCCUGGGGUACCCAGCCCCGCCCAGCCCAGCUGCCUGAAGGCUGAGGGGAAAUCGAUACCUGGGCACAGCUUAGUGGCUCCAGCACUUAGCUCAGCCUGUUGGCAGGCAAGCCAGAGGGUCAAGGAGGGUAGACAACAUCACUUCCUGAUUUGCUUCUCUGCUUCCUCAUCAAGUCUUCCUCCAGAGGAACUCCUCCCCUCUGCUUCAAGCCCAUCUCCUUACAGGUCUGGAAACACAGUGUGCAGAUUUUUUUUUCCUUUUUCUUUUUUUUUUUUUUUGGUCUUUUCUUAGGGCCACACCCAUGGCAUAUGGAAGUUCCCAGGCUAGGGGUCUAAUUGGAUCUUCAUCUGCUGGCCUGCACCACAGUCACAACCAUGUCAGAUCCAAGCUGCAUCUGGAACCUACACCACAGCUCACGGCAAUGCCAGAUCCUUAACCCACUGGGUGAGGUCAGGGAUCGAAGCCACAUCUUCAUGGAUACUAGUUGGAUUCUCAAACUGCUGAGCCACAACGGGAAUUUGUAAUUUUUAAAAGCCCCUCGGAUGAUGCAAAUGUGACCAGGGCGGAGUCCAUUCCCAGGGCUCCGGGUCCUUAGAGCUGAGCCGGACUUUUAUUUGGGUCCUGCUGCCCCUCUGCCCACCUUCAGAACCCUGCUUCUGAAUCACCUCUCACACCUCUUACCUUCUUCAACACACUGUGUCUCAAGAGUCUCUCUAGAACCCUAGGCUGCCUGCCUCUCAGGCGGUAAAAGGCCUCAACAGCUAUACACAGAUCUGGUGCCUUUCUCAGGCAUCAGGAGACCAAGAGAGGCUUUUAGGGGAGGAAGUGUGAUCUGAUGGCUGUUCUGAAACUCCUUCUGUUUACUGUGUGGGGAAGGGGAGGGAGCACCAGGCCGGGGCCCCACUGGGCUUGUCUGCUUAACCCCUUCAGCACUCCACCCCCCAGCUCCAGGCCUGCAUGGAAGUUCCCUGCUGCUUUGGGGGCCAGGCCCAUCCCCUGGGCUCAUGGGUUUCACCAGGGAGAAAGGAGCAGGCUUUCUUUCCACCAUGGCCAGUAGGGCUGGCAGCUGAAAACGGGGUGGAGGCGGGGAGUGAGGAAGGCUAACAAUGAGGAUUCACCCCAGGCUCCCGGUGGGUAGAGACCAUCUGGACAGAACCAGAGCCCGCCAAAGGGGCAUCCCUCAUCCCUUGGUGGAGAAAGGUGCUCACUGGGGCCACUGCAGAGAGAGGCUAUGGCAACCCAAGAAGCACCCUCCCUCGUGCCCAUCAAACAGGCAGGAAAAAUCAAAGGGCACCAGAUGAAUGGGUGGAAAAUGUUACAAGCAAACACGGGAAAGGUUUUCCCAGAUAAAAGCAAUGGAGAGAGGAAGGGGGUAACAGAGGUGGAGGGAGGGGCGGGAGGCCAGGAUGCGGGGGGAGGGAAGAAGGAGGGAUUGGGGGGGUCUCCGAGCUUCCUGAGGUUACGGAGAACCAGGGCACCAGGGCGGGGAGGAACAGAAAGGAGAAGCUGAGGCGGGAGUCACACUAACCCUUGAGAAAAGUGGCCCGUGGGACAGAGCGGGGAUGGUGGGUCUCAGCACUCGCAGCUGGUGUGGAAGUGAAGUCCCUCCUGUCCUGAUGCGAAGCCCAGUGUUGCCACCCUCGAAGCCUUCCCUUAUAAGUUCACAAGGCUGGGCAAUGCUAGCCUGGGUGGUGGCGGGGGGCUGCCCCUUGGGGCCCCAGGCAUCAAGCUCCCACCUGUGGUCAUCCAGCAAUUCCGACUCAUUUCUUUCUUUCUGUUUUGUCGUUUUAGGGCUGCAUUCUCGGCAUAUGGAAGUUCCCACGCUAGGGGUUGAAUAGGAGUUGCAGCUGCCGGCUUACACCACAACCACAGCAACAUGAGAUCUGAGCUGCGUCUGCGACCUACACCACAGCUCAUGGCAACACCAGAUCCUUAACCCACUGAGAGAGGCCAGGGAUCGAACCCACGUCCUCAUGGAUAUUAGUUGGUUCUUAACCUGCUGAGCCACAACAGGGACUCCUCUACUCAUCUGCAAACAGGGGCCCGAAUUUCCAUUUUGCUCCAGGCCCCACGUGGAUUUCAAAACUGGUCCUGACUGACCUUUCCAGAGGAUGUGUUGCUAGAAAGGUAGGAGCAGGAAGGUAGGGAACCUGCUCUGACUGCUGCUCCCUGUUUGCUAACCAAAUACGCGCCCCAGCGCUGUUGACACAGCCACCAGGCAACUGUAAGGACAGAGCUUCCCACGCCAGCUGAACAGCCUGAUGAAACGUGCGAGGGGCUAUGCCUGUGUGUGUGUAUCAUUCAAGAAGCUGUGAGUGGCCGCCACACAUCAGGCACAAGGUGGUCCCGACCUCGUCCCCCAGCACAGAAAGCAGGGCCCUGCUGAGGCCCUAGAGCCAGCCUGACAAAACCUACCCAGUCCUGGGAGACCCGACUUCUACCGUCGGCUCUUGCCGGCCAGGGAGGCAUUAGGACCCACUUCCCCAAGGAUCCCGAUCCUCCACUGAGAGCGGAGAUGCCACCUGGGGUGUUUGGGACCAAGACCAUGCCUCCUGUUGUAGCUCCUACAUUAUUCACAAGGCCCCUGUGGGGUCACCAAGUCUCCAAGUAAAACGCUGAGAGAGACCCAGCCCAACACCAUGGCCAUGGGCCUGUGCCAAGCCCAGGCCUCUCCCUUAGCACUGCUCCCCUUCUCUUCUGGCCCUUCACUCAAGGACCAAGGUGCAGUAGGGCCCUUCGAAAUCCCAACACUAUACUGGCCUCUCCCACUGCCAGCUCUCCCCUCUGUGGCCCAAAGGCAGAGGCACUGCAGACUCCCCUCCCACCAGCAGGAAGAUCUUGGGGUCUGCUGCCCCAGCCUCCGGUCCUUCCUGAGGCCCCCAACAGCAUCAUUUCCAAGGGCUUGCAGUUCAGAUAAUCAAAACCUCUUAGGCUCAACCUAGGGGCUAAUUUGGAAGAGGCCUGAGCCCCACAGGUGCCAGGUGUGCAAAGGAAACACACUUGCAGGCAAAACCAGAGGCAGCUGGAUGCCUGCCCACAGCCGGGACAAAGCCAAGCUCAGCAGGCCUGAAGGGUGUCCGGGCCAAGGGCAGCACGAGGGCAGGCAGGCCUCUCAGGAGGGGCCAGGAGAGUGAGCCGGGGAGGCAGGGGGCCAGGCCGGGAACUGAAUUAAUCAGCAGGAAACUGAUGGUUGUUUCCUGACAACACCACCACCACCACCACCACCAAGAGCACAUAAAACACACACACACACACACACACACACACACACACAGGAAUUCGGAGACAGGGAGGGCAGCUGGUGACUUCCUGAAGACCCACAAUGCAACCAUUUUUUCAAAUAAUGUAGGCAAAACCACACAAAGCACCCUCCCUCUCCUGAGUGUAGACAGUGUGUGGAGCCCC
ensembl:lncRNA